CUUUCUUCUUCUUCCUUCCUCUCUCGCACAACUCCUUCCCCCUUCUCCUUCUCUCCAACAUGGCAAGCCAUGUCGCUAGCUUCUUUCACGCACGAUUUUUACAGUAUCUCUCUAUUGGUAGCUUCUCUCCAGCAUGACAAGACUCCAACUUCUUCUCUUUCUCACCAACACAGCAAGGCUCGUCCCUAUAGCCAUUGUCUCUUCGUCUGGAACUCUUCCCUAACAUUGCUCAUACUGAAACCCCUUCUCAAAAUCGAAUCCCACAAUAAUAUGAAUGGGAUAAUAAAGUCUUAUUGUUAGGGGGAAAAAUUUCCCCCAGAAGUUUGGCCCAACCAAGGCUGGCAUGGCACCCAGCUCAAGGAUAGACCUAAGCCCUUCCGGCUCCAGGCCACAUAACAGCAGGUACCCCAGCCCAAGAGGAUGUGGGUCAAGCCAACGAACUGGGUGGACCGUGAUCCAGAGGGCACUCAGCACCCCUAUCGCCAGAGAAGAAGCAGCACGCUACCUCGAUGGGAUAGCGCAAUCUGACACCCUCCUCAGGCCAAGUCGCAUUAAUUGGGCUCUGGCAGUAGUCACUCAGGGAGGCAGGGCAUGGAGCUCCCAACCCUUGAGACAGGUAUAAGUAUCCUCUCGAGCACCAUAUAAAAGUAAUCUAAAAAAAGAACUCAUCAUCUCCUCUAGAGUUUUCUUCUAAAUGAGGCUGACUUAAGCAUCAAAGGCUCCAUCCGGUGACCCCCCAGGCUGCUGGAACUGUGAGUGAUUUUGUGUGUGCAGAUAAGAGAAGGCCCGAGCCCCCGAGAAGUUCGAUCCAAAGACAUACGAAACACGACACUAACACUUAUUAUUGCUUACUUAUAAAGUCCUUUAUUGUGUCAUAAUCUUCGAUUUAGUUCAAUAAGAAUUUGUUACUAGAACCAAAAUAAAUGCUCCAAGUUUGUGGGUGGUAUAGGUUGAUGAUGUCAUAAACCUUAAACACGAUGUUACAUAAUGAGACAUACCAUAAAUAAUAUAGCAACUCUAGCUUUAUGUUUUA